GUGCCAGCAGCCGCGGUAAUACGUAGGGGGCUAGCGUUAUCCGGAAUUACUGGGCGUAAAGGGUGCGUAGGUGGUUUUUUAAGUCAGAAGUGAAAGGCUACGGCUCAACCGUAGUAAGCUUUUGAAACUAAAGAACUUGAGUGCAGGAGAGGAGAGUAGAAUUCCUAGUGUAGCGGUGAAAUGCGUAGAUAUUAGGAGGAAUACCAGUAGCGAAGGCGGCUCUCUGGACUGUAACUGACACUGAGGCACGAAAGCGUGGGGAGCAAACAGGAUUAGAUACCCUGGUAGUCC
rnacentral:rRNA from 1 species